UCCCCAGCCGGGGGCUGCAGGGGCCGGCAGCCCGGGGGAUGUAUAAUACAGAAACGACAUUAGGGGGAGCUCCGUUACCUAGUCCGGUUUUUUAAAAGAGUGAGCGUUUGAGUCCGUGGCAGAGCAGUGCCUUCGCUUCUCGGGAAAUCGCUGUCUUUCCUCUUCCGUCUCAGGCGGCUGCUGCGCAAGGAUAAUGAGGGCUGUGCUGGGACACAAAGAUCAACUCGAGGCUUAUUUCAACAAAAUGCUUUUUACUAAAUGGUCUCUUACCCAUCUUGAAAUGCUUCCUACCCUAACUAGUCCCCUGAAAGCAGAGGCAGUGGUUGCACAGCAGUCCACAGUUAUGCCUUGAAGCACAUUUUUAAGCACCUAAGACAAAAGGAAGAGGCUUUGUGUUCAGGUUCUGUGUGCACCAUUUGCUGAGAGGAGACACACAGACUUCAGAAGGCUGCCAGCUGGCUGGCCAUUCCUCUCGUUUCAAAUAAACAUUCAACAUGUUUUCAGUAAA